CUUUCCCACUGCUCCCUUCCAUCAAAUCCAUUCUCCCAUCAAAUCAAGAAAAUUUCAGGCUUGAUCGGAAGAAGGAGAAAGAAUAGCGGAGGAGGUAGAGGGGCGGUGACAACGACCCUGUUACACCUGCAGGCUGCAACCACAGGAGCACCUCGCCAAUUAAAAUCACUAAAUGCGUUUUAAUAUCAAGCCUCUAUUAUUCACGAGGGAAGAUACAUUCUGAGCUUAUUUUCACAACUCGAAAGACCCUCUCUCUCACUAUUUGAAGAUCGCCGGAGCUUCGCCGGAGGAACGCAAAGUCGCCGGAAAAACCCUCUUGCUCUCCAUCGUCGGUAUGCUGCUGUUUUUGCAGCUUUAGUUUCUGGUUUUGCUUGGUUGGUUUGGAUUGACUUUGGUUCAAAGCUGCUUGCUUCACUUGGGAAGUGUUUUGAGGGUCAAGUGAAUCGCCUGUGCUUCUCGUACCCCAUUAAGAACUCCGCAACUGAAUCAUUCUUCAAUUAGCAAUCAGGAUCAUACAUCAUCGACGGGAUUUAUUCUCAGGUUUUUCCGUGCUAAUGAGCUUACAAGACAGCUAAAGGAGGAGGGGAUAGAAAUAACUGCAAAUUCUCUUCAUCCUAGAGUAGUCUCAACAAACUUGUUCCGCCACAUACUCCGAGCUUUGCUGAAGGUUUUGUUAGCAAGCUCAGCAACCUUCUGUUGAAAAAUGUUCAGCAGGGGGCCGCGACAACAUGCUAUGUAGCAUUGCACCAACAAGUGAAAGGAGUAAGUGGGGAAUAUUUUUCGGAUAGAAACUUGGCAAAAACAACAGAUGUGGCUAAAGAUAUGGAUUUGGCCAAGAGAUUAUGGGAAUAUAGCAUCAAUCUACUAAAG